AACGCUAAAUUCAGGGAUUGUAGUCAUGUCAUUUUGUUAUUCGUAAUAAAGGUAAAAUCAUUCGUCGAAAAAAAUUAAUGAUAAUGACGGGUGUGUGCUUGUGUUUUUUUACAAUAUUCGUAAUUCUUAUUGAAAUUAAUGCAUUACGAAGAAUAAACCGUUUCGACAUACGAAGAAUAAACGAUUAUGCAAGUUUCCGGUCAGAUAUAAACUCCGAUGGUCGUCCCAUUUUGCGAGGGGGGAUGUAUGAC